GUCCUAACAGGGUUCAACAUCUCCAUCUCUCCAUACCCUGUCUGGACUACCGGUGCCAGCUGCGUCAAGGCUGUCCACAGACGGGCACGGGUAGCAUAAAGCUCCAUGCGGAGAGCACGAGCAUCCUUGUCUCUGUUCUCUAGCAUCUCAACAGUGGACUGCAGAAGUGGAUCCUCCAUAGAAGAAUCAAAAUAGACUCCGCUGAGG
rnacentral:lncRNA from 1 species